CGCGGAGUAGAGCAGUCUGGUAGCUCAUCGGGCUCAUAACCCGAGGGUCAAUGGUUCAAAUCCAUUCUCCGCUA
rnacentral:tRNA from 1 species